UACGGAGGGGGGCUAGCGUUGUUCGGAAUUACUGGGCGUAAAGCGCACGUAGGCGGCUUUGUAAGUUAGAGGUGAAAGCCCGGAGCUCAACUCCGGAAUUGCCUUUAAGACUGCAUCGCUAGAAUUGUGGAGAGGUGAGUGGAAUUCCGAGUGUAGAGGUGAAAUUCGUAGAUAUUCGGAAGAACACCAGUGGCGAAGGCGACUCACUGGACACAUAUUGACGCUGAGGUGCG
rnacentral:rRNA from 1 species